rnacentral:lncRNA from 1 species
GGACAACCAUCACUGCAGGAUCUUACCACACUGCCUGGUACGUUUUUUUUUUUGCGGCACAAACUACACAGCCACCACAAGCAUGGGCCAUCUCAGUUUCCACUCCUCACCAUGUUGCCACAUCCACCGCCACAACCACCACAUCCACCACAACCCCCACAACCACCACUAUUUCCACUCUUCAUUGUGUCACCACACCCACUGUCACCAGAGUUUCCACUCCUCACCAUGUUGCCACAUCCACCGCCACAUCCACCGCCACAUCCACCACAACCACCACUAUUUCCACUCUUCAUUGUGUCACCACACCCACUGUCACCAGAGUUUCCACUCACCAUGUCCCCGCAUCCACUGCCACAACCACCACAACCACCACCACAGUUUCCACUCCUCACCAUGUCCCCGCAUCCACUGCCACAACCGCCACAACCGCCACCACAAUUUCCACUCCUCACUAUGCUUCCUUUAGCCACGUCCAC